rnacentral:rRNA from 1 species
ACGGAAGGCAGCAGUGAGGAAUAUUGGUCAAUGGGCGGAAGCCUGAACCAGCCAAGUCGCGUGAAGGAUGAAGGUAUUAUGUAUUGUAAACUUCUUUAGACGUAGAGAAAUAAGGGGAUCGUGAUCCCUGAUGCUAGUAUACGUAGAAUAAGGAUCGGCUAACUCCGUGCCAGCAGCCGCGGUAAUACGGAGGAUCCGAGCGUUAUCCGGAUUUAUUGGGUUUAAAGGGUGCGCAGGCGGCUUUUUAAGUCAGUGGUUAAAUCGUGACGCUCAACGUCAUCACGCCAUUGAUACUGGAGAGCUUGAUUGCGGUCGAGGUUUGCGGAAUUCGUUGUGUAGCGGUGAAAUGCAUAGAUAUGACGAAGAACACCGAUUGCGUAGGCAGCAGACCAGGCCGUAAAUGACGCUCAUGCACGAAAGUGCGGGGAUCGAACAGGAUUAGAUACCCUGGUA